AUACGUAGGGAGCAAGCGUUAUCCGGAUUUAUUGGGUGUAAAGCGUGCGUAGGCGGCUUUAUAGGUCUAUGAUUUAAGUCCGAAGCUUAACUUCGGUUCGUCAUAGAAACCGUUUGGCUUGAGUAUGGUAGAGGCAAGUGGAAUUUCUAGUGUAGCGGUGGAAUGCGUAGAUAUUAGAAGGAACACCAGUGGCGAAGGCGACUUGCUGGGCCAUUACUGACGCUGAGUCACGAAAGCGUGGGGAGCAAAUAGGAUUAGAUACCCUAGUAGUCCACGCCGUAAACGAUGGAUACUAAGUGUCGGAGUUAUUCGGUGCUGAAGUUAACACAUUAAGUAUCCCACCUGAGUAGUACGGUCGCAAGGCUGAA
rnacentral:rRNA from 1 species